rnacentral:rRNA from 1 species
UGCGUAGGCGGCUUUGCAAGUCAGAUGUGAAAUCUAUGGGCUCAACCCAUAAACUGCAUUUGAAACUGUAGAGCUUGAGUGCAGGAGAGGAGAGUGGAAUUCCUAGUGUAGCGGUGAAAUGCGUAGAUAUUAGGAGGAACACCAGUUGCGAAGGCGGCUCUCUGGACUGUAACUGACACUGAGGCACGAAAGCGUGGGGAGCAAACA